GACGAACGCUGGCGGCGUGCUUAACACAUGCAAGUCGAACGAAGUGGCGAACGGGUGAGUAACGCGUAAUCAACCUGCCCUUCAGAGGGGGACAACAGUUGGAAACGACUGCUAAUACCGCAUACUGAAGGAGGGGAUUGCGUCGGAUUAGCUAGUUGGAGGGGUAACGGCCCACCAAGGCGAUGAUCAGUAGGCGGGCUGAGAGGGUGAACGGCAAGAUUGGGACUGGGACACGGGCCAGAAGCCUAAGGGGGGCAGAAGUGGCGGAGAGUUCGAAAUUGGCGAAACUCUGACGCGGCGAUGCCGCGUGAGCGGUGUCGGGCUACGGGGUGGAAAGCUCUGUUAAACGAGAAGCGGUACCGGAAUAGUACGCUUCGGCUAGCUACGUGACAGCAGCCGCGGUAAUAC
rnacentral:rRNA from 1 species